rnacentral:tRNA from 1 species
GCGGGUAUAGUUUAAUUCUUUAAAAUUUUGUUUUUGUAAAACAAGGAUAGUUAUUACCAACUUGCUCGCA